UGUUGAUCUGCAACCAUUCAUAAACUUCUUGAGGAGGAACAAUCUGCAGACGGAAUUCUUUUCUAUUGGACCAAACCAAUAUUUGGUCAACUCAAUCCACGAGCACUGGUUUUGUGCUCGUUGUGUUAACACAACACAGCCAUGAGGUGAAGGAGUUAUAGUUAUGCAGAUUGGAGCUUACUUGUUAGUAUCUAUGUAUGACGGUUUUGUUGGUUCGGCUUCACAAGCAAUGGUGGCUGUUGAUCAGUUUGCAUGGCACUUCAACCGGAGAGCACAUUAACUUGUGGUGUAGACUCAUGGCCUUAUAGUGUACUGUAUAACCAGACAUGCUGCUUAAUUUUACUGUUGUAUUGUGAUCAGUAGGUAUGUAGUGAAAUAACUAAGAUUCUAUUAAAUGUAGUUGAAUUCAAUCA